GCUAUGGAUUAGGAUGUUCGCCUACUCUUCAUAACAUGACAUUGACCUACAUUCCAUAAGGUUGUAUACCAUUGCUUGAGUUAUAUAUUGUGGCCAAUAGAGUUUGAAUAUCUGUGUUGUUUGAACGAAUUAUGAAGGCUCGCUAUGUAUGAUGGGGCACAAAGAGGUAGAUUUUACUACCAACUAUCAACAACGUGAUGAUCUAUCUUGCUAUGAUUGUGUGGUCUGAAGAAGAUAUAUAUAUAGGUAACUAGGAUCAACAUUUGGCGUACCAUUGAUCCAGUGAGCAUCUCAAAGUCAGUUGGUGAGCCUCCUUUCAUUCCGGAGGACGUCCUUAUUAUUUAAUUAUUUGCUUCAGUUUUCAGUUAUUAGGAUGAAUGGGGAUCCUGUCCCAACAUCCAUCUUUACUUUAAAGGCUUCAUAGAUAAACAAUGUUGUUUUCUUUGGUCUUUCAUUUCAUUUGUAAAGACUUGAAGUUUCCAUUUUGCCUAAGUACUAUUUUAAAGUUAUUCUUGAGUUA